rnacentral:lncRNA from 1 species
CUUAAUCAGUUUCUAGCUCAUGUAUGCAAUAAGAUCAGCCAAUGCUUUCUAUUAUCCUAACACACAUCACUUAUAACUGAGGCAAAGCAAUAUUAAUCAUCAAUCAACAUCAGACAAUGCAAAACCUUAAGUGAUUUCAGUUUAAUGAAAGCUAAUAGGAUUUAGACAGUUUCUAACAUCCUAGCACAAUCAUAACCAAACCGGGUAAGCAUUUUAUUUCUCAACAUCAAACAAGACUCUUAAAGCAUCCUGGGACUGAACUAGACAAUAUAAUAUAGCAUUUCAUAUCAAGAACCCACGGAUUGCAACACUACACAACACAACACACAACCAGUUUCAAUCACAAGCUCAUAUCAAGAAGGUUUAGGAUUAGCUUACAACCAAGGAACCUGAGCUGGUUCCUUGAGCCUCCUUGGUUAUAGGUCACGAAUCUGAUGGGUAAGAGAGCUGGAUCGUCACCCAACACCCUCUCCUUGUGUUCAUAACCUUCUCCUUGAAACCACAACUCAAAAGGCUCCACCUUUCUUCACAGCUCCAAGUCACCAACUUCAGGAACAAGGGGAAAGCUUUCUUCUUGAAUGGUUUCAGCUUGGACCAGAGUUGAGACACACCUUUAAUGGACUGGAGAGAGGAGGCACGACCAUGAUAAACCUCCUUGGCUUCAUACACCUUCUUCUUGAAGAGAGAGAACCAAAAGGACAGAUCUUCAAUGGCUUGGAUUUGAGAUGAGACUAGGCUUGUGAUGUAUAUGCGGAAGCUGGAACCAAGUUCUGAUGAACCUGGCUCUGAUACCAUGUUAGGUUUUCAGAGCUCAGGCUGUGUGUGUGAGAAGAAGCCACUAAGGGCGAAAUGAGAGCUUGAACUGAAGAGAGAAAGGUCUGAUGAAGAACAGUAUGAACUUGGACAGAAACAAGAGAUUUAGAGAGAUUAAGAGAUUUAAGUAUAAGAAAGGGGUAGUUUGAGGGAUUCUUAUCCAAGAACACACUUUGUAUUAUGAAGGAGGAGGGGAAAUCCCCCUCUCUCUCUUGAGAGACACAAAAACGUCCAUACAUAGCUUAUUUAUAAGCUUUACACAUUGCAAACUCAUAAACCCUUAAUCUAAUGGAUAGAAAUGACUGAAUUGAAAUAGAUGGCUAGGAUGGAGUCUGGUGGGUUGGUGAGGACGUGAUGGAUGCUGAUUGGUUGAUUCAAACUGGUCAAAGCAAGGGCUGGCUCCUGAUUGGUUCCCUUAAGGCUCCCAUGAACCUUAUUCACAAAGAUGUCUAGAUACAUGGUCAAGGCUGCUUUUCCUUUACAGCUCAAAGACAGCCUGUCAUUGACCACGCCCUAGCUCUCCCUUAUCCACAAACAGUCACAAGAUAACUCAGGUUUGUCUUCUCUUGCGCCGUAAGUUUGCACAGCUUCAUUUCAGGUUGAUCCGGAACAAGUACGGUCGAUGGUACGGACCGCCCAUCCGUACCUCGCCCUAUUUUUGUACCAACUCCCAAUCUGACUCCAAAUGGUGUCUAAGUAUGUCUAAGUCCCUCCUGGACUUGACCCUAACUUUGCACACCUCAUUUGGAUACUUCUGGACACUCCUGAACACUCCUAAAGCCUUGAUAGACAAUCUCCGGAGGUCUUGCCCUAUUCUUGCUCAAGACCCAAACUCAACCCAACUCCUCCAUUGGCUCCAUUUCUUUCUUCAAGUCAACACUCCCCCUCAAGCUUGACUCUAGGUGAUCCUAAGCCAAGCUUGGAACCUUGAAGAACUCCCUCAUUAAAAACCUCACCAAGGAAAACCCUUUGGGACAAAACCUUGAUGAGGGAAAAAGAGUAGAGCCUUCAAGGCCUAGGGAUUGGCCAGUGAGCCUAUGUGCCUUAGUAUCACUGAGGUUUAGGCACAUAGGCUCUGGAUCACGGCCUCUUCACUUCACCACACCUUCUUAGACUCUUCUAUAGAACCGGCUUAGUGUCUCCCCCUUUCACCUGACUUCAUGCCAUCUUGAAAGGCUAGGAACGACCUGAUCCUCUCCAUUGAGUCUCCAAGUAAGGUACCUGAUACAUCAUUCCACAAGUGUAUCAGUUCUCAAGAGAUAAACCUAUCAUGAAUGUAUAUAAAGAGAUUGAUCAGGUUUACUCCCUUGUUUAAAUGUUGAGGAGUGGCUGCUCUUCACACACCACUUGAAUCCCUCACUUGCUGAGCUUAACAGCUCCUUCUCUUAUCAUGCAAGCUCAUCCACACUCCCCCUCAAGCUUGAGACCGAGUAUAGGAAAGGUCCAAGCUUGAUAGUGAGCGCAUGUUAGCUCCAUGAUAAGCCUUGUGGAGAGCACCUCCAUCUCUUUCAGACUUGAUGCUUGAAUCCUCCACUACAUCACCAUUGCACUGAGGAGAUACCUCAGCCCACUCUCCAAGCAUCUCACACUAGCUUGUUGAGUGACUUUCUUCUUCCCUCCACUUCGGCUGGAUCACUCCAUGAUCAGCUUGCAAUGGCCUUGACUAACACAGGUCAUUGAGCAACAGGAUCAUCAGGUGGCUCACUUUGCUCCCCUCCUCAAGCUUGGAUUGAGUAUGGGUCCAAGCUUGAAGUGAGCCUCAAUGAGCCUUAAGAUCAGGAGCGCAACAUCUCAUAGAGUGCGCUUCAACCACUGAUCAACCCUUCCCUUUAUCUCCAAUGCCUUCUGGUCACCGGUCUCCUCUAGACUUAGGUGAUGACCACUCGCCUUGUGUAUCCACACACACACCACAGCGACCAUUCCCAAUGGGUAAAGUCUUCCUCUUCUGCUCGGAUUGGUGAUGGACAGAGAGCACAUCUUGUGAACCUGAAACAUCACUCAAACUCCAGCAAAGAUAAGACACAAGCAUUGGGAUCAAUCCUUGACUAAUCAUCAAGUUUGAUCUCCAAUGUCACAAGCUAUGCAACAGAUUGAAACAAGCAUUAUCAAGUUCACAUCUUUGCAAGCAAUCUCUCUAAGUACAAGCAAGAUCAAAUCAGAUUCAAGACAAGCUACUUAGGCAAUCAACCCUGCCUUAAUCCGCAAUCAUAGACAUCCAUCUAUGUGCUCAAUGUUAAGGCAGCAACAAGAUGACAAUAUGCUGUGACCUUAAUCAGUUUCUAGCUCAUGUAUGCAAUAAGAUCAGCCAAUGCUUUCUAUUAUCCUAACACACAUCACUUAUAACUGAGGCAAAGCAAUAUUAAUCAUCAAUCAACAUCAGACAAUGCAAAACCUUAAGUGAUUUCAGUUUAAUGAAAGCUAAUAGGAUUUAGACAGUUUCUAACAUCCUAGCACAAUCAUAACCAAACCGGGUAAGCAUUUUAUUUCUCAACAUCAAACAAGACUCUUAAAGCAUCCUGGGACUGAACUAGACAAUAUAAUAUAGCAUUUCAUAUCAAGAACCCACGGAUUGCAACACUACACAACACAACACACAACCAGUUUCAAUCACAAGCUCAUAUCAAGAAGGUUUAGGAUUAGCUUACAACCAAGGAACCUGAGCUGGUUCCUUGAGCCUCCUUGGUUAUAGGUCACGAAUCUGAUGGGUAAGAGAGCUGGAUCGUCACCCAACACCCUCUCCUUGUGUUCAUAACCUUCUCCUUGAAACCACAACUCAAAAGGCUCCACCUUUCUUCACAGCUCCAAGUCACCAACUUCAGGAACAAGGGGAAAGCUUUCUUCUUGAAUGGUUUCAGCUUGGACCAGAGUUGAGACACACCUUUAAUGGACUGGAGAGAGGAGGCACGACCAUGAUAAACCUCCUUGGCUUCAUACACCUUCUUCUUGAAGAGAGAGAACCAAAAGGACAGAUCUUCAAUGGCUUGGAUUUGAGAUGAGACUAGGCUUGUGAUGUAUAUGCGGAAGCUGGAACCAAGUUCUGAUGAACCUGGCUCUGAUACCAUGUUAGGUUUUCAGAGCUCAGGCUGUGUGUGUGAGAAGAAGCCACUAAGGGCGAAAUGAGAGCUUGAACUGAAGAGAGAAAGGUCUGAUGAAGAACAGUAUGAACUUGGACAGAAACAAGAGAUUUAGAGAGAUUAAGAGAUUUAAGUAUAAGAAAGGGGUAGUUUGAGGGAUUCUUAUCCAAGAACACACUUUGUAUUAUGAAGGAGGAGGGGAAAUCCCCCUC